rnacentral:lncRNA from 10 species
ACUUGCCUCAUUUAUCCUCCAUUUGAAAAAUUUCAAAAACUAUUCAUUUGUUUGCAUACCAAGGCAGUACAGAAUCUUCUACAGUGGCACUUCGAUGGUCAAUCAUCGUUUUUCCUUUUUCUUAAUUUUCAAGUCUCAUGAGUCUCCAAAUCAUAGCAUCUGCAACCAUUUUUCUGUGCAAAGGGCUCCGUGAAGUGCCUAAGCAUGGUCUUCUUUAAGCCUCGACAUGACCCUGU